GGGGAUUUGGUGUAGUGGUAACACAGCGGUCUCCAAAACCGCUAACGGGGGUCCGAUUCCUCCAAUCCCCG
rnacentral:tRNA from 1 species